UACGUAGGGGGCGAGCGUUGUCCGGAUUUAUUGGGCGUAAAACGCUUGUAGGUGGCUACGUCAAGUCGGACGUGAAAUCUCCCGGCUUAACUGGGAGGGGUCGCUCGAUACUGGCGAGCUCGAGGCAGGUAGGGGGAAGCGGAAUUCCCGGUGUAGUGGUGGAAUGCGUAGAUAUCAGGAGGAACACCAGUGGCGAAGGCGACUACCUGGCCUGUUCUUGACGCUGAGGCGCGAAAGCUAGGGGAGCAAACGGG
rnacentral:rRNA from 1 species